UAUUUUGACUAUACAAAGGUAUUGUAAUAAGAUUUUAAUUGAAUGCUAAAAGAAUGGAAAUUUAAAAAAAAACUUUUUUAAAAAUAAAAAUUGAAUUUUUUUUAAUUUGUGCAAAAACAAUUAUAUUUAUUAAAGACAAGAAGACCCUAAGAAUUUAAGAUUUUACAAUUAAAAAGUUUUUUUUUUAAAAUCUUGAUUGGGGCGAUCAAAAAAUAUUAAUAACUUUUUAAAAUUUAAAUUGAUCUAUUAUUAAUAAACUAAUGAAUUAAAUA
rnacentral:rRNA from 1 species